rnacentral:rRNA from 1 species
CCUACGGGAGGCAGCAGUGAGGAAUAUUGGUCAAUGGGCUUACGCCUGAACCAGCCAAGUCGCGUGAGGGAAGACUGCCCUAUGGGUUGUAAACCUCUUUUGUCAGGGAGCAACGCCGGCUAAGUGUAGCCGGACUGAGAGUACCUGAAGAAAAAGCAUCGGCUAACUCCGUGCCAGCAGCCGCGGUAAUACGGAGGAUGCGAGCGUUAUCCGGAUUGAUUGGGUUUAAAGGGUGCGUAGGCGGAAUGCCAAGUCAGCGGUAAAAUCGCGGGGCUCAACCUCGCUCCGCCGUUGAAACUGGCGUUCUUGAGUGGGCGAGAAGUAUGCGGAAUGCGUGGUGUAGCGGUGAAAUGCAUAGAUAUCACGCAGAACUCCGAUUGCGAAGGCAGCAUACCGGCGCCCAACUGACGCUGAAGCACGAAAGCGUGGGUAUCGAACAGGAUUAGAUACCCCGGUAGUC